AUUCACCCUCAUGGCUUAAAUCAUGGAUGGCGCUGGUUGGCACAGAUCUUAAACAUGGAGCCCUUGUCAGAUGUGACAGCCACCCUCCUCUUUGACUUCUUGGAGGUGUGUGGGAAUGCCCUCAUGAAGCAAUACCAGGUUCAGUUCUGGAAGAUGCUAAUUCUUAUCAAAGAGGACUACUUUCCCAGGUAUCAGGCUUGUUGAGCAGACAACAGGGGAUUAAGUAAGUAAAACUCAUAACCAGGCCUCAGAUACCCAAGGGUGCUAUUACCUGCUGGUUUUGAUUCAAGUUAAAAACACCUGUACUAAGUAUGACAUCUUCCUACUCCAGUCCCUCUCAUUGAUAUUUGAAUAAAUGCUUUUGAAACUUAA